UCUGGAGAUUGCUCCCUUUGGAGUUUUUCUAUGAGCCGAAGACAAUGGAGAUAGCAGCAAAUGGUCGUACUCAGUUGAUAACUUCCUCUCAGGUGCGGUACUGCCCUGAUGUCUUCACAGAGAGGUGAAAAUGUUUGAUGCAAGGGUAGAUGUUGAAUGUGCCCCAUUCGUGAGGUAGCUGAAGAAGAAAGAACCUGACUGCAGGCACGAUUACAUUCCAUUGAAUGCUAUCAAGGUUCUGAUACAAUGUCAGCAAAGGCCAAUGUAAGAGCAACGUGAUGGAAGGCACGGAGCAAUACCCCCUGUAUAAAGAUAUAGGAUGCCAGAGUCCCACAUGUGGCUUGGCUGCAUACAGGCUAUGUAUGACUUGGCUGCUCAUCUGUCCAUGUGCAAUCCAUGGAUCUGUGCCCCUUGUUAUGGCCUUGGGAGAGGCACUGGUGUGGACCAGAGGGAGAGCCUGCUGCCUUUUGCCACCUAUAUGCACUCUCCUGUUCAAGUGCAUUUCAGUCUUGUCAUGAAGGAACUUGUAGUGUCUUGGUUUUCUGCAAUUGCAGAGAGAUUUCUAGCCCUCAGAACUGUAGUUCCAGCACUGUGGAGCAGUUCUAACAGGAAGAGCAGAUAUAACAGGAAAAGUGAAAGAGCAGAUCUAACCCCAGGAACUCUUGUGAACCAAUUAACUGAGUACAUAUGUAUUGACUGAAUGAAAUUAACUGAGUAAUAGUAGAGAGGAUGAGUUGUAGAGAGCUUGAGCUAGCAAUGUAGACCAUGAGGAAUCAUGUUAAUUUAUUUACAGUAAAUUUACUAUGAUGUAUUGGUCUCCACUAAACUUCAGAUUCUUUUGUCUGUUGUAUUUUUUCAAAAUAUAAUUUGAAUUGACUUUUU
ensembl:lncRNA